AACGAACGCUGGCGGCAUGCCUAACACAUGCAAGUCGAACGAGACCUUCGGGUCUAGUGGCGCACGGGUGCGUAACGCGUGGGAACCUGCCCUUAGGUUCGGAAUAACUCCCCGAAAGGGGUGCUAAUACCGGAUAAUGUCUUCGGACCAAAGAUUUAUCGCCUUUGGAUGGGCCCGCGUUGGAUUAGCUAGUUGGUAGGGUAAAAGCCUACCAAGGCGACGAUCCAUAGCUGGUCUGAGAGGAUGAUCAGCCACACUGGGACUGAGACACGGCCCAGACUCCUACGGGAGGCAGCAGUGGGGACUAUUGGACGAUGGGCGAAAGCCUGAUCCAGCAAUGCCGCGUGAGUGAUGAAGGCCUUAGGGUUGUAAAGCUCUUUUACCCGGGAUGAUAAUGACAGUACCGGGAGAAUAAGCUCCGGCUAACUCCGUG
rnacentral:rRNA from 1 species